CUCCAAAGUCACGAAACUUCUUUAUUACGAUGGACCGCAAUAAGGAAGGGCUCAAAUCCCAUAGCUUCCAGGGUUGCGAACAUGAAUGCCAAAUUUACACGAUUGAAUGCUUUCUCUGUGACUGUCAAUAAGAGGAGUAGGCGUCUGGAAAUCCGGCGUGCAAGGUGUUGCAAGGCAAAUGGUUGGAGGGUGCUAUCACUGGCCUCCCUUCCAGGGACAAGACCGGUUUGGUCUGAAUGAAUAAGGUCAGGCAAACACGUGUGCAUCCUCGUCACCAAGACCUUAGUGAACAAUUUAAUGUCCACGUUUAAGAGCGAGAUCAGUCAAUAGCUACCACAUGUUUCAGGGUCUUUGUUGGGUUUCAGUAGGAUGGAAAUAGUGGCAGCUAAGGAUUCAUUGUGAAAAGCUCCUCCGUCUGUUAACUUAUUAGGGCUUUUGUAAGUUUAGGUAUCAGGAGGUUUAAGAACGCUUUAUAGUAUCCGAGAGAGAAGCUAUCCGGGCCUGGUGCCUUCUCCAUUUUAGCCGUUUUGAACACGGACAACAAUUCAUCUUCACCUAAAGGUGAAUCCAUCGAUUCCGCUAUCUCAGGGGGGUAUCAUUUUUGGUUUCUGCUCACUUAGGUAUUUUUGAAUGUUUGUAAGAUGUUCGAUCUCCAUAGCAUGGGGUUGAACUCUAAUGAUUC